CAACACAACCAUAAUCAAGGCUUAAACAUAUCAAAACAAUUAUGUACUAUUCAUAACAAAAUUGUCCACUUGAGUCAUAGUCACUAAAUUAUUUAUAUCUUGAGCUACAGAACUCUGAAUUAAGAUUUGCUUGAGUUUUCCGAAACUAGACUCAAAUAUCUUCCUACCAAAAAAUUUUCAAAAUUUAUGGUUUAGCCAAUAAGUACAGUUAAUUCUUCA
rnacentral:lncRNA from 1 species